GUCAUCGACUACACAUUUUUACUCGGGCUUUCUAUUGCCAUGGAUUUCCUUUGACCUCUCACAUUUGUAUAGACUAUAAUGAAGCUAAACAACAGCGCCCCCCCCCCCCCAACAAAGUUAAUGUGCCAAAUUGUCCAUUUUGAACCCAUCUCCAGCCAAUUUCAAAGGAACUACUUUGAAAGAAAACAGACCAGCACAGUUCUGCAAUAACAGUUUUAAGAUGGGUGUGAGAUUUGGGGAGAAGAGAUUUCUUUUUCUCAAUGUACUGUAUGGGGAUGCUGGUAACUACUGACCCACUGUUCAGUAGAGAGCUAGAGGUAGCACAGCCACUAAUUUAGAGCUUCCAAGAUACUACUGCUGG
rnacentral:lncRNA from 1 species